AAAAAAAAAAAAACUGCACCACGUGGGACUAACAACAGUUUUGUGCCACAAAAGACAGGAGAGCAUGUGUGUACUGAGGUGUAAGGGUUACAUCGGGGCAGUGGAGACACAGAGCGCCUUGUGCCUCCAACGGUGUGCACAGGAGCCCCGCCUAGCCCUUCUGCACCGUCCCAGUGGCCAUACAGUGCUACUGAAGCAAACAGUGAACACUAAACCACCAACCCCGACAUGCUCGUUAGCUCUCAGUCACUCCCAGAAUACAAGUUCACUUAGCACCCACCACGUGCAGGGGUUAAUCACACAGGAGGUAA
rnacentral:lncRNA from 1 species